CCUACGGGAGGCAGCAGUGGGGAAUAUUGGACAAUGGGCGAAAGCCUGAUCCAGCAAUGCCGCGUGAGUGAUGAAGGCCUUAGGGUUGUAAAGCUCUUUUACCAGGGAUGAUAAUGACAGUACCUGGAGAAUAAGCUCCGGCUAACUCCGUGCCAGCAGCCGCGGUAAUACGGAGGGAGCUAGCGUUGUUCGGAAUUACUGGGCGUAAAGCGUACGUAGGCGGUUAUUCAAGUCAGAGGUGAAAGCCUGGAGCUCAACUCCAGAACUGCCUUUGAAACUAGAUAGCUAGAAUCUUGGAGAGGUGAGUGGAAUUCCGAGUGUAGAGGUGAAAUUCGUAGAUAUUCGGAAGAACGCCAGUGGCGAAGGCGACUCACUGGACAAGUAUUGACGCUGAGGUACGAAAGCGUGGGGAGCAAACAGGAUUAGACACCCUGGUAGUCCACGCCGUAAACGAUGAUAACUAGCUGUUCGGGCUCUACGAGCUUGAGUGGCGCAGCUAACGCAUUAAGUUAUCCGCCUGGGGAUACGGUCGCAAGNUUAAAACUCAAAAUGAAUUGACGG
rnacentral:rRNA from 1 species